CACGUAGUCGGCUUGGUAAGUCAGAUGUGAAAGCCCGGGGCUUAACCCCGGAAGUGCAUUUGAUACUGCCAAGCUUGAGUAUGGGAGAGGGAAGUGGAAUUCCUGGUGUAGAGGUGAAAUUCGUAGAUAUCAGGAGGAACACCGGUGGCGAAGGCGACUUCCUGGACCAAUACUGACGCUGAGGUGCGAAGGCGUGGGUAGCAAACAGGAUUAGAUACCCUGGUAGUCC
rnacentral:rRNA from 1 species